AUAAGGUAAUGUGAAUUGCAGAAUUCAGUGAAUCAUCGAAUCUUGAACGCACAUUGCGCCCGCCAGUAUUCUGGCGGGCAUGCCUGUCCGAGCGUCAUUUCAACCCUCGAACCCCUCCGGGGGGUCGGCGUUGGGGACCUCGGGAGCCCCUAAGACGGGAUCCCGGCCCCGAAAUACAGUGGCGGUCUCGCCGCAGCCUCUCCUGCGCAGUAGUUUGCACAACUCGCACCGGGAGCGCGGCGCGUCCACGUCCGUAAAACACCCAACUUUCUGAAAUGUUGACCUCGGAUCAGGUAGGAAUACCCGCUGAACUUAAGCAUAUCAAUAAGCGGAGGAAAAGAAACCAACAGGGAUUGCCCCAGUAACGGCGAGUGAAGCGGCAACAGCUCAAAUUUGAAAUCUGGCCCCUAGGGUCCGAGUUGUAAUUUGUAGAGGAUGCUUUUGGUGAGGUGCCGCCCGAGUUCCCUGGAACGGGACGCCGCAGAGGGUGAGAGCCCCGUCUGGCUGGCCACCGAGCCUCUGUAAAGCUCCUUCGACGAGUCGAGUAGUUUGGGAAUGCUGCUCAAAAUGGGAGGUAUAUGUCU
rnacentral:rRNA from 1 species